rnacentral:rRNA from 1 species
CCUACGGGUGGCAGCAGUGAGGAAUAUUGGUCAAUGGGCGCGAGCCUGAACCAGCCAAGUAGCGUGAAGGAUGACUGCCCUACGGGUUGUAAACUUCUUUUAUAAAGGAAGAAAGUGAGGCACGUGUGCCUUUUUGCAUGGACUUUAUGAAUGAGGACCGGCUAACUCCGUGCCAGGAGCCGCGGUGAUACGGAGGGUCCGGGCGUUACCCGGAUUUAUGGGGUUGAAAGGGAUCGUAGAUGGGUUGUGAAGUCAGUUGUGAAAGUUUGCGGCUCAACCGUAAAAUUGCAAUUGAUACUGGCAGUCUUGAGUGCAGUUGAGGUAGGCGGAAUUCGUGGUGUAGCGGUGAAAUGCUUAGAUAUCAGGAGGAACUCCGAUUGCGAAGGCGGCUUGCUGAACUGCCACUGACGUUGAUGCUCGAAAGUGUGGGUAUCAAACAGGAUUAGAUACCCUAGUAGUC